rnacentral:rRNA from 1 species
GACGUAGGGCGCGAGCGUUGUCCGGAUUUAUUGGGCGUAAAGAGCUCGUAGGCGGCUUGUCGCGUCGACUGUGAAAUCCCGCGGCUCAACUGCGGGUCUGCAGUCGAUACGGGCAGGCUAGAGUUCGGUAGGGGAGACUGGAAUUCCUGGUGUAGCGGUGAAAUGCGCAGAUAUCAGGAGGAACACCGGUGGCGAAGGCGGGUCUCUGGGCCGAAACUGACGCUGAGGAGCGAAAGCGUGGGGGGCAAACAGG